rnacentral:rRNA from 1 species
AUUGAACGCUGGCGGCAGGCCUAACACAUGCAAGUCGAACGAGUGGCGGACGGGUGAGUCAUGUCUGGGAAACUGCCUGAUGGAGGGGGAUACCUACUGGAAACGGUAGCUAAUACCGCAUACCAUCAGAUGUGCCCAGAUGGUAUUAGCUAGUUGGUGGGGUAACGGCUCACCAAGGCGACGAUCCCUAGCUGGUCUGAGAGGGUGACCAGCCACACUGGAACUGAGACACGGUCCAGACUCCUACGGGAGGCAGCAGUGGGGAAUAUUGGACAAUGGGCGAAAUCCUGAUCCAGCCAUGCCGCGUGUGUGAAGAAGGGCUUCGGAUUUUAAAGCACUUUAAGUUGGGAGGCGUUACCAACAGAAUAAGCACCGGCUAACUUCGUGCCAGCAGCCGCGGUAAUAC